AAAGCAUUCUCUGGUGUUGAAGGCCCUGCAAAGCAGCAUCGCGGUGGCGGAGCGUCGUUUGCGACGCCCAACACACAAAACAAGCGGUGAAUGCUUUGGGGUGGGGUGACUGCGUACCUUUUGUAUAAUGGGUCAGCGACUUAUAUUCUGUAGCAAGGUUAACCGAAUAGGGGAGCCGGAGGGAAACCGAGUCUUAAUUGGGCGUUAAGUUGCAGGGUAUAGACCCGAAACCCGGUGAUCUAGCCAUGGGCAGGUUGAAGGUUGGGUAACACUAACUGGAGGACCGAACCGACUAAUGUUGAAAAAUUAGCGGAUGACCUGUGGCUGGGGGUGAAAGGCCAAUCAAACCGGGAGAUAGCUGGUUCUCCCCGAAAGCUAUUUAGGUAGCGCCUCGUGAAUUCAUCUCCGGGGGUAGAGCACUGUUUCGGCUAGGGGGCCAUCCCGGCUUACCAACCCGAUGCAAACUGCGAAUACCGGAGAAUGUUAUCACGGGAGACACACGGCGGGUGCUAACGUCCGUCGUGAAGAGGGAAACAACCCAGACCGCCAGCUAAGGUCCCAAAGUCAUGGUUAAGUGGGAAACGAUGUGGGAAGGCCCAGACAGCCAGGAUGUUGGCUUAGAAGCAGCCAUCAUUUAAAGAAAGCGUAAUAGCUCACUGGUCGAGUCGGCCUGCGCGGAAGAUGUAACGGGGCUAAACCAUGCAC
rnacentral:rRNA from 1 species